UACAGAGGUCUCAAGCGUUGUUCGGAUUCAUUGGGCGUAAAGGGUGCGUAGGCGGCGCGGUAAGUCGGGUGUGAAAGCCCUGGGCUCAACCCAGGAAGUGCACUCGAAACUGCCAGGCUUGAAUAUGGAAGAGGGUCGCGGAAUUCCCGGUGUAGAGGUGAAAUUCGUAGAUAUCGGGAGGAACACCAGUGGCGAAGGCGGCGACCUGGGCCAAUAUUGACGCUGAGGUGCGAAAGCGUGGGGAGCGAACAGG
rnacentral:rRNA from 1 species